ACCUCGUGAUCCGCCCGUCUCAGCCUCCCGAAGUGCUGGGAUUACAGGCUUGAGCCACCGCGCCCGGCCAACUAUCCAAUUUCAAUUUUCAGAAGGAUCACAGUGGCUUCUGGAUGGAGAGGCUAAAGAGGGAGGAGAUAUGAACAGAAGCCAGUUGGAAGGUCAUUGCAGAAUUCAAGUGAAAUGUAAUGGCAGCCAGGUUAAGUAGGAGGAGGAGUGGUGUGGGAGAGAGUCACACUGAUGAAUAUAAUCGUAGUUUCAUUUUCACUUCCAGACUGAUCCUUUUAUUGUCAUCCCACUAUUCUGCUUUGAACUGCUAAUGAACAGUCGGAUUUUCCCAUUUUUCCUGAUGAUGAGCAGUGCUGCUGUAAGGUGUACGUGCCUUCUGGAGCACUCGAAACAAUCAACACAGAAAUCCUCAAGAGGCAGCUUUCCUGUACAUUUCAGUUUCUCCUAAAACAGAAGAGGGCUGAGAAUGCUUACUGAGGAAUCAUCCAAGCAUGUCUUUCUGUCAUGACAAGAGCAAUUCCAGUGUGCUUCAUGAGACCCUGCUUCUCUCGCUGCAUUUGGUUUUCAGGUUGCAAGAUUUGAAAAACGCUUGUCAAAACCCGACAGUUAUUUCUGUUUUCAAGGGCAGUUUGAUCUGCAUUUUCUUCCAGUCCAUUCAUUUCUCUCUGGUUUGGCCUCCAAGGUCUUAAUCUUUUGCCCAAGAAAAGCCCUUACAUUUAAGCAACAUGAGUUCCUUGAUUUAUCUUUAGCCCACUGCUACUUUCCUGAGUUCAGAAUAAAAGCUGAUUAUUAUUAUUA